CCGUUCGUACGCACUCAUGUACCUCUUCGCUUCUGGUAAAUCACCAUUUUCUCGUUUGGACUUAGUUUAUUUUCAUUAACGACGUAUUUCGGACUUAGAGAAUAUUCGAGCAAUCGCUUAUUACCUAAGACACCAGUGAUUGUCGUUAAUUCGAAUAACUAACCCGUAUAAAUUAACUUGUCUUUUUUACAAUUUUAAUAAAAUAACUCAUCGAACUACAAUUUGUUGAUCAUUUGACGCUUCUACCAUCAACCUAUCCUGUCCCCUUCUCCUGUAAGUUGGGUGCACGCAACAGCAUUGUGUGUAGUUAUAUACUACGGUGAACGUCAUUCGAGUAAUGAACGCUGUCCAUGAUCCGACGCAGUUGGAUUGCAUACCUGAUGCCGUGACCCGGCCGUCCCACAUUGUCCGCUAUCCGACAAAGUCAGAUUGCCUACGCGGAUAACUGAGGUGACUGACCUGCUAGACACUAAAAAAAUCGCGGCGGCUAUAUGAUUUUUUUUACGGAAUUUCAAAUUUUCGGCGGCAUAACCCGGGCUACCACGUCGAACCGGGGUGGUCCUAACCUUAUCAUAGUUCCUUAUCAUCAGACCUCCUUAUCACACACCAACCGGCUCGAGACCGACGACCAGACCAAAAGACCACUUCAGCUUCCGACAUCGGUUGAAAUUCUUCGCCAACUCGGGGGGUUUGGGCGUCUCCCCCAGCGACGCUUGGAGAACUAGUUUUAUAUAAAACAUAUAAUAUAUGUAUUUUGUAAUAAAAUAAUUAUAACAGUGUGUAGCUAUAUAAUAUAAUGUUUAGUACGUCAUGUUAAAUACCUACUUAAUAACUGUUGUAAAAAAGUUGUUUUUUAUUCUGUAACUUUGUUUGUAUUAUUUGUAUUGUUCAGUACUAUGUUAUUUAUUAUUUAAUAAACAUUUAAGGUCUAUAAUUUAUUA